rnacentral:rRNA from 1 species
GACGUAGGGCGCGAGCGUUGUCCGGAUUUAUUGGGCGUAAAGAGCUCGUAGGCGGCUUGUCGCGUCGAAUGUGAAAACCCACGGCUCAACUGUGGGCUUGCAUUCGAUACGGGCAGGCUAGAGUUCGGUAGGGGAGACUGGAAUUCCUGGUGUAGCGGUGAAAUGCGCAGACUAUCAGGAGGAACACCGGUGGCGAAGGCGGGUCUCCUGGGCCGAUACUGACGCUGAGGAGCGAAAGCGUGGGGAGCGAACAGG